rnacentral:rRNA from 2 species
GGCAGACGGGUGAGUAACGCGUGGGAAUCUACCUUUUGCUACGGAAUAACGCAGGGAAACUUGUGCUAAUACCGUAUGUGUCCUUCGGGAGAAAGAUUUAUCGGCAAGAGAUGAGCCCGCGUUGGAUUAGCUAGUUGGUGGGGUAAAGGCCUACCAAGGCGACGAUCCAUAGCUGGUCUGAGAGGAUGAUCAGCCACAUUGGGACUGAGACACGGCCCAAACUCCUACGGGAGGCAGCAGUGGGGAAUAUUGGACAAUGGGCGCAAGCCUGAUCCAGCCAUGCCGCGUGAGUGAUGAAGGCCCUAGGGUUGUAAAGCUCUUUCACCGGAGAAGAUAAUGACGGUAUCCGGAGAAGAAGCCCCGGCUAACUUCGUGCCAGCAGCCGCGGUAAUACGAAGGGGGCUAGCGUUGUUCGGAAUUACUGGGCGUAAAGCGCACGUAGGCGGAUCGAUCAGUCAGGGGUGAAAUCCCAGGGCUCAACCCUGGAACUGCCUUUGAUACUGUCGAUCUGGAGUAUGGAAGAGGUGAGUGGAAUUCCGAGUGUAGAGGUGAAAUUCGUAG